GGGAUUGGGGAGGGGGAGUGGCCUCUGCUUCCCGAGGGGAGGUAGUGGGGGAUAGGACAGGAAAUGUCAGCUGGGGUUUAGAUGAUGUAGCAAACUAACUUUUCUAUAGAAUGUUCCAGAAGACUUCUGAGGUUCCCUGAGGUGCAGAGUGCCAGCCUGGCCUCAGUGAGGGCCUGCACCCCUGCUCUUGAAGGGGAGCCAUGAGCACUGCUGAGGUGGCCAGCUGCAGUGGCCCCUUCAGCGUGGGACUGGGGUGGCAAGGGUUCGCUGCACAAGGUCUGGAAAGUUCUAGGGGAACACGACACGGGGCAGAUUCUGGAGGACCGUCUCCUGAAUGAAGCCGCCACUCAGCUACUCUGGUCUACAGUGGCGUCUCCCAGAGGCUGCGUGACGCCAGCAGACACAAGAAUCCAGUUGUCUCCAAUUAAAUGAUGAAAGAUUCAUGAAAAUGUAAAAUGACAUUUCUCCUGACUACAGUCACUUUGUUUUGGGGAAUACGUAACUCCUCGUCAUGAAGACACGGCAUGUCAGGCAGUAAGCUGGUCAUCGCCACUCACUCAAUUCUGUCAUGGUUACUUAAUGGUGCGGGGAUGGGACCCAGGGCCUCCUGCGUGCGGGCCACUGUUCUACUGCCCAGCGGCCUCCCUGGCGCUUUUCAUGUUUUACUUUGGGACAGAGUCUCACUGAGUUGCCCAGGCUGGCCUCAAACUUGUGACCCUCCUGCCUCAGCCUCCCAGAUAGCUGGAUUACAGGCGAGCGCCACCGUGCUUUACUGCUAUUACUGUUUAUAAGCAAAUAAGUAAAUAUGGGUAAUAGGAGCAAAUGUGUAAAUGUUAGAACAUUCUUCUCGUUUGUAAUCGCUAACACAGUGAAUGUGAUAAAGACAGCUGAUAGACGA